UUACCAACUCCAGACACCUCCCAGCCUCCCUCCUCCUCCCUCCUCUUUCCCUCCUACCCUCUCUCUUGGCCCCGCCCCCGCCCCGCCCCCGCCCCGCCCCAUCCCUUCACGCGUUGGAUGACCCCGCCCCUCGUGCUCCUGGCCCCGCCCCCUACCUGGAGGAGCUGCCUGCUGCGAGUUCCGGACAGUGGCUGCCCGGACCGGAAGUGUGGUGUUGCCAUGGCGAGGACCGAGCGCCGGGCCCGCCCCCAUGGUGGCGGUGGCAGCGGCCGGGCGGACAGACGGACGGACACACUGCACGAGUUGAUGUCAGGCCAGGCGAGGGCGCGGUCCCUGGUCGCCGCCUGCCUGUCUGUCUUUGUGAGUGGAGUGGCAGGGCAGUGCAAGGUGGUGUGUACCCAGGCAUGCUGUACUGAGGAGGAGCCAGGUACUCUCCCAGCACUGACCUGCCUGCCUGCCUGCCUGCCCAUCUGCCUGCUUGCCCACCCUCCACUGCAUUUGGGCUGGAGAGGCCCACUCCUGUGCUGGACAGGAGCCAGAGAACUUGGGCAAAUCAACUUACUAUGAAGAAGGGAGCUAGCUGGACAGCCUAACUCCAGCAAGGCCUUGGUAGAUCAGGUACCAGUCUUGAGUCUUGGAAAGAAGAAACUUCUAGAGCUUGGCAGAGAAAGACCCCAACCUCCUUCAACAACAACUUGACAACCUGACAAGCUCCUUCCCUUCCUCCAUUAAUAGCUGAUCUCCUGUUCCCUCCCUUUGGGGAGGAGCUGCCCCACUGGUGCUCCAUCCGUUUAUGAUGGUAAUGGGGGCUAUAAACUGACACUGGGAAGCUCAACAUUCUGACUAAGCUGGGAGGGGCAGAAGGAAAAAGGAGUGGAAGAUUGGAGAGGGUCUGAUGAUGGGGAGCUCUCUGGUUGGACCUGUUGAUUCUCUGACUUGGAAGGAGGAGGUCAGGAAUACUGCCAGUACCCUUGGAGGGACCAUCACUUACUGGUGAUUGUUCUCCCUUACCCUGCCCUUCAGGGGCUUGGGAAGCUGGAGCCUCCUUAUCAGGGUAAUUAGCAGCAGACCCUGGACUGAGACUGGCUUCUGUCUCAUUGACUGCUUCUCUGCUGAGUGGAUCCUGCCUGCUGUACACCACACAUACUAGCUGUGCACCCUGACCCUGUGGGGGGAGGCGACGGGAGAAGGGGUGAGGGUAGGCAUAGAUCUUCAGUGCCUUGGGCACUGAACUUAAUCAGCACAGUGACAGCCCAGAGGGUCAGGGGACACUGAGGGGAUUGCUUGCCUAGCUUUUCCUUCUACCUAUUCUCCAGUUGUCACAGGAAAGGUACUUGGGCCCCAAUCUCUGGACACUGAGGUCUAGGGCUUCAGGAACCAGAACUGGGGAGCUUUGGGGCGGGGAGGCAGAUAGUGACAGUUCCCAGGCUAGGAUUGAAUCGUUUGGAUAUACUGCUGCCUGGACACAGACUUGUCUAGGUAGCACUAUUGAGAGCCAGGCUCAGCACUAUGGAGCAGUUUCUUGCCUUUGGGGUCAAAGGCUCGGAUUAUGGAGCAGCUAACUGAA
rnacentral:lncRNA from 1 species